AUGUACCACUCGUACACUGCGGUUCCUGUGCGCCGUCCGCACCCACCUGACGACUGCUCGCGACGUUUUGUUAGCC
rnacentral:sRNA from 4 species